UUCUCGUUAGAUCACCGAAGUCAAGCAUCAUUGGGCGCGGUCAGUACUUGGGUGGGUGACCACCUGGGAACACCGCGUGCCGUU